GUACUGAUGAAGUGUCCCAAACUAGGACGAAACAGUUGUCCAGUAC
rnacentral:hammerhead_ribozyme from 1 species